GCAAACUUGGUCAUUUAGAGGAAGUAAAAGUCGUAACAAGGUUUCCGUAGGUGAACCUGCGGAAGGAUCAUUAACGAAAUGACAAGUCGGCGGAUUGUGCUGGUGCCCCCAAAGGCGCAUGUGCACGUCCGUCGCAAAUCCACACACCUGUGCACUUUAGACUCUGAGUGAGCAGUCUGUUUGGACUGCACCUCGGAGUAAUUUUACACACGCUUGCAUGUAAAAGGAUGUUGUCGUGCUCAGCACAAAAAAACAUACAACUUUCAACAACGGAUCUCUUGGCUCUCGCAUCGAUGAAGAACGCAGC
rnacentral:misc_RNA from 1 species